rnacentral:rRNA from 1 species
UACGGGGGGGGCAAGCGUUGUUCGGAAUUACUGGGCGUAAAGCGUGCGCAGGCGGUUUUGUAAGCCAGAUGUGAAAUCCCCGGGCUUAACCUGGGAAUGGCAUUUGGGACUGCAAGGCUGGAGUUUGGCAGAGGAGACUGGAAUUCCUGGUGUAGCAGUGAAAUGCGUAGAUAUCAGGAGGAAUACCGAUGGCGAAGGCAGGUCUCUGGGCUGAAACUGACGCUCAUGCACGAAAGCGUGGGGAGCAAACAGG